CAUGUGGGGCAAGCGUUGUUCGGAAUUACUGGGCAUAAAGGGUGCGUAGGUGGUUUGUUAAGUCAGGGGUGAAAUCCCGCGGCCCAACCGUGGAACUGCCUUUGAUACUGGCGAACUUGAGUGCGUGAGGGGUAGGGGAACGAGCAGUGUAGCGGUGAAAUGCGUAGAUAUUGCUCGGAAGGCCAGAGCCGAAGGGGCCCUACUGGUGCGCAACUGACACUGAGGCACGAAAGCGUGGGGAGCAAACAGGAUUAGAUACCCUGGUAGUCCACGCCGUAAACUAUGAGCACUAGAUGGAUGCCGAGCUAUCGGUGUCUGUCGGAGGCAAUUUGGUAAGUGCUCCGCCUGGGGAGUAUGGUCGCAAGGCUG
rnacentral:rRNA from 1 species